CUCUGCUCACUGAGCCGGGUGCUCAAGUCUUUGGGUCUCACCUGAUGUGGUGAUGCUCACUGAACACUUCCUGUCCAGCUGAGGCCCGCUGCUGCUGCUGUUGAUGUCACCACCCUGUACGCCUCAUCCAGAUGGGUCAUGAUGCAGCGUGGUUGUCGCCGUCCCCCUGGAUUCCUCAGGUCCCUGUCCCAGCCAAGCAUGGGCCCGUGUCACUCCGCAGCUGCCUGUGUGGGCUUCUCCAAAGACGAUGAUGUUCUAGGUGGAACCAAAGCUCCCUGUGAGCAGCAGCCCCCACCCCCAGGAUGUCAUGGAGUGGGGUUUGCACGGGUCCUCCUGCUUUGUUUCAUGGCUUUGUACCAGCGACUGGACAUGCAGGUGCAGGCGUCUCAGGACAUGCUGAGGCCUCGGUCUGCGAUGCCCGAGGGUCACUGUGGACCUGUGGGUGCUGUGCCCAUCCCCCCAGGUGGUUCGUGUUGUUGGCAGCCCCUCCCCAGGGACACUGAGCUCCUCGCUAGUUUCCACCAGCAGCAUAGCGCCUGCACUAGGGGUGAGUGCUUCUCCUUGGAACCAGCUGCCAAAACUCCCCUUUCCCACUGGUGUCCACCCCAGUCCUGCGUCCCUCAUCUAAAGAAACGUAAAGAAAAACGCACCCCACCACCCUGCUUCCGAGGCCACAGGCUGUCACUCCUUGUCCUCCAAGAGCCCAGAGCUUUCAAGAGUGGGCAUUUCGCUUUGCAUGGUUUUUUUUUUGGCGGUACGUGGGCCUCUCACUGUUGUGGUCUCUCCCGUUGCAGAGCACAGGCUCCAGACGCGCAGGCUCAGCGGCCAUGGCUCACGGGCCCAGCCGCUCCGCAGCAUGUGGGAUCUUCCCGGACCGGGGCAAGAACCCGUGUCCCCUGCAUUGGCAGGUGGACUCUCAACCACUGCGCCACCAGGGAAGCCCCGCUUUGCAUGUUUUACCCUUGGUGAUGACGCUGCUGCCGGGCAAUGGGGCGAGUUCUCAGGGCUAUGUCCGGUGCCCUGUGUCGUGUGUCUGUGACAUGGGCUCUGAAGCGCUCUCAUCCAGGCUCCGGCUGCUGCGCUGGGCAAGUGGGAUUUCAUUCUUGGAGAGCAUCUCCCACUGUGCUUGCAGACGCCUGCUGCACCCACUGUCAGAUACCUUUGUUUUCGCUCAUCUGGGGGUGUGGAUGGCACUUUGUGGAGGUUUCACG
rnacentral:lncRNA from 1 species